ensembl:lncRNA
GGCCGUAAGCUGCUGGCCCCAGCACAAUGUCUCAAUUUAUGGAUUCAACUGAUUAGGUGGCAAGUACCUGAAGUUACGAAGACAAUCCUUUAACCAUACCUGCAUGUUUGCAUAAUACCCUAACCCAAAGGCUCAGUUUAGCAUUUAUCUAACAGCACAGGCCCUGGAUUGUUGAAGAUGGCCUCAGGAACCAGCACAGGGCCUGGUGUGUUGUACAUGGCCACAGCUAGCAGCACAGGGCCUGGUUUGGUGAAGAUGGCCUCGGCCAGAAGCGCAGGACCUGGUGUGAUGUGAGUGGCCUGAGCAAGAGCCACAGGCCCUGGUGUGGUGUAAGUGGCCUCAGCCAGAAGCCACAGGCACUGGUGUGGUGUAAGUGGCCUCAGCCAGCAGCCACAGGCCCUGGUGUGGUGUAAGUGGCCUCAGCCAGCAGCCACAGGCCCUGGUGUGGUGUAAGUGGCCUCAAUAGCAACUAAUGCCCUGGUGUGGUGUAAGUGGCCUCAAUAGCAACUAAGGCCCUGGUGUGGUGUAAGUGGCCUCAGCCAGCAGCCACAGGCCCUGGUGUGGUGUAAGUGGCCUCAGCCAGCAGCCACAGGCCCUGGUGUGGUGUAAGUGGCCUCAGCCAGCAGCCACAGGCCCUGGUGUGGUGUAAGUGGCCUCAGCCAGCAGCCACAGGCCCUGGUGUGGUGUAAGUGGCCUCAGCCAGAGCCACAGGCCCUGGUGUGGUGUAAGUGGCCUCAAUAGCAACUAAUGCCCUGGUGUGGUGUAAGUGGCCUCAGCCAGCAGCCACAGGCCCUGGUGUGGUGUAAGUGGCCUCAGAAGCAAAUAAGGCCGUGGUGUGGUGUAAGUGGCCUCAGCCAGUGCCACAGGCCCUGGUGUGGUGUAAGUGGCCUGAGCAAGAGCCACAGGCCCUGGUGUGGUGUAAGUGGCCUCAGCCAGCAGCCACAGGCCCUGGUGUGGUGUAAGUGGCCUCAGCCAGCAGCCACAGGCCCUGGUGUGGUGUAAGUGGCCUCAGCCAGCAGCCACAGGCCCUGGUGUGGUGUAAGUGGCCUGAGCAAGAGCCACAGACCCUGGUGUGGUGUAAUUGGCCUCAAUAGCAACUAAUGCCCUGGUGUGGUGUAAGUGGCCUCAGCCAGCAGCCACAGACCCUGGUGUGGUGUACGUGGCCUCAAUAGCAACUAAUGCCCUGGUGUGGUGUAAGUGGCCUCAGCCAGCAGCCACAGGCCCUGGUGUGGUGUAAGUGGCCCCAGCCGGUCACUCAGGCCCUGGUGUGGUGUAGGUGGCAUCAGCUAGCAGCACAAGACAUUGGAAAACAGCCAAAAGCAAUGUCGUUAAUGUGCCCUCAUUAAUGGGCAGCUGCUUUUGGUCUUUUAAUACACCCCUUCUCUGGAUCAAAAGCGGUUCAAUGACAUGAAAAUGAAAGGCUUACAGCACCAGGUAUUCCCAGGUAGUCUCCCAUCCAAGUACUAACCAAGCCCAGCCCUGCUUAGCUUCCGAGAUCAGACGAGGUCGGGCGUGCUCAGGGUGGUAUGGCCGUAAGCUGCUGGCCCCAGCACAAUGUCUCAAUUUAUGGAUUCAAGUGAUUAGGUGGCAAGUACCUGAAGUUACGAAGACAAUCCUAUAACCAUACCUUCAUGUUUGCAUAAUACCCUAACCCAAAGGCUCAGUUUAGCAUUUAUCCAACAGCACAGGCCCUGGAUUGUUGAAGAUGGCCUCAGGAACCAGAACAGGGCCUGGUGUGUUGUACAUGGCCACAGCUAGCAGCACAGGGCCUGGUUUGGUGAAGAUGGCCUCGGCCAGAAGCACAGGGCCUGGUGUGAUAUGAGUGGCCUGAGCAAGAGCCACAGGCCCUGGUGUGGUGUAAGUGGCCUGAGCAAGAGCCACAGGCCCUGGUGUGGUGUAAGUGGCCUGAGCAAGAGCCACAGGCCCUGGUGUGGUGUAAGUGGCCUGAGCAAGAGCCACAGGCCCUGGUGUGGUGUAAGUGGCCUGAGCAAGAGCCACAGGCCCUGGUGUGGUGUAAGUGGCCUGAGCAAGAGCAACAGGCCCUGGUGUGGUGUAAUUGGCCUCAAUAGCAACUAAGGCCCUGGUGUGGUGUAAGUGGCCUCAGCCAGCAGCCACAGGCCCUGGUGUGGUGUAAGUGGCCUCAGAAGCAAAUAAGGCCGUGGUGUGGUGUAUGUGGCCUCAGCCAGUGCCACAGGCCCUGGUGUGGUGUAAGUGGCCUGAGCAAGAGCCACAGGCCCUGGUGUGGUGUAAGUGGCCUCAGCCAGCGCCACAGACCCUGGUGUGGUGUAAUUGGCCUCAAUAGCAACUAAUGCCCUGGUGUGGUGUAGGUGGCCUCAGCCAGCAGCCACAGGCCCUGGUGUGGUGUAAGUGUGCUGUUGGAUAAAUGCUAAACUGGCUAAACUGAGCCUUUGGGUUAGGGUAUUAUGCUGCGUUCGGUGUGGGAGGCCGCGCCUCGUCCCAUCGCUUCAAUUCCAGCGGUCAGCUUAGGGGGGGUUUGAACAGCUGGUUCCGCUCUCUUAUUUCUCCGAUAAGUCAGGGCCAAGCCAGCUCCGAUCAGCAAGAACCCUGUUAUCAUGGUUCCGAAUAGGUAAAAGUUAGCUUCAUACCUGAGAGAUGGUACCUUCAAAUUCGUCCUCCAUGGUGCUUCUAUCACUAAAACAAUCCGCUGCUGUACUCAUGAUCACAUGACUUAGAUGAUUCUGAUUGGCUGCUCAAAUGCUCAUUAGGGGUGGAGCAUUUUUAUAACAUUAGUUACCAUAGGGCUUUGGAGCGUGAUGUAACGGGGUGGGCGUGGAAAGGAUUUUGGCCUGAUGCGCCAUUUUCGUGGUCAAAAUAUAUGGCGUUAUUUUUGUGCCACUAUUCUGAGCGCACGUAAAAAAAAUUUUGAACCGUCUGAGCUAGUGAUGGCCAAAUGAAGCUUUCUGAAGCACUGAAGCUUGUAUUGAAAAACGGUUCACUACUCGAAGCUUUUCAACACAGUCCUCUCUGGUGACAUCUGGUGGCCAAAAAUAUGAAGAGCAGCUUGAAUCCACAAAAUAAAACCAACCGCUUCAUUAUGAUUGCCCACACUACAGAGUGGAAUCCUGUCUGAUAUUGGGCCUCCGUUGUGUUGCUUUGAACGUGUAUUUUUUGGUGGUUAAAAUGUGUUUUAUUCGUUUAAUAAAUAGUUUUGACCAGUAAACUCUCCUUGUUUAAACAUGCACCAUGGUGUGGUCUUUCUUUGCUUGUGACUUCUUGAUGUUGGUAAAUACAAUAAUUGAAAAAUACCGCGUUACAUAUAUAUACAUAUAAUAAUGUAAAACACAUUAUGGAGUAUGCUUCUGCUGUGAGGUCUUGCCUCCAUGCAGGUAUGCAAUUAAUCGCCGGAGGGGUGUAUUUAUAAAUAAUAUUAUAUUAAGGAAAUUUUCCCAGACAUAUUUUUGACCUGGGGGUAGAAUUGAUUGUGAAAUGGAAAAGGAAAAUGCUUAUGAACUUGCAAAUUAAAAACAUGAUGCAUUGACGGUAACCCUUUUUCAUUUUUAUUUAAAAAGAGAAUUUGUUCUAGUGUGCGAUGGCCG